rnacentral:tRNA from 1 species
AAAAUACUAGUAAAUUCAUUACAUAACUUUGUCAAAGUUAAAUUACAAGCUAAUACUUGUGUAUUUUU